rnacentral:sRNA from 1 species
UGAUACAUUUAUAUAAUUAUUAACUUAUGAUAUUGAUGGACCAUAUAUAUACAUAGGACUUUCAAAAAAAAA